rnacentral:lncRNA from 1 species
CUAAUUCCUAUAUUUUCAUCUUUAUUCGAGGUGGGAUUGAUCCCUUAAUAAUCUCCAAAACCAAAUUAACUUCUAGAAGCAUAAUCAAGGUAUGGUAGACAAGACCAAGUCCAUGCUAUACGAAUAACAUGCACAAAACUUAUUCAGUUGAAGUUUUACAUUCGACCAUGCAUAUACUUGAUCUACGAAAGCCCAACCAAAGUAGUACGCAAUAACAAACCACUUGAAGCUCGGAAUGGAAGGAAGACAGCUUGGUGACACUUGAAGUGCCUAUCAGAAUUUCACAUGGAUAAAUUUGGUGCAUAAAAACAAACUUUCUUGACGAAUUCAUUUUCAUGUGUGACAAUGAGAACUAAAAUUGUACAGAACAAGAACCAUGGCAUGAUCGGCAUCACAAACAGUAUUUAUAGCGUUUCUAUAUUGUAAAUACAAGAAGCUAUAUAAUUUGAAUGUGAAAAUGGAACCUGUCAAAUUAUGUGAUUUCUCUUCCAUUUUAUGCAUUUAAUAUGACUUGCUAAUGCAAAUGAAAACCACGUGAAGGACCCAGGAACUAACCAUUGUGCAAUUUAGGUUCAAGAUUUGUUGAAGAAAUUGAAUCAGUGUCCACAUUAAUCAAGAAGAAAGCAAGCAAGCAUGUGUAGAAAUACCUUCAUUCGUUUACUUUAUGAUUAGUACAUUAUUAGUAAAAAGAAUCAAUGUGACCAUCCCAGGUCUACUAAGCUAGAUCACCUUUUAAAUGGAGGAAUCACAGGCCUAUUGCAAAUUUGAUGAAACAAGGGCAGUGAAAGAAAGAAUUUAUUAUAUAUAACCAACAAUUGUGGAA